rnacentral:rRNA from 1 species
GACGUAGGUGGCGAACGUUAUCCGGAAUUAUUGGGCGUAAAGGAUGCGUAGAUGGUGUAGUAAGUUAUCGGUGGCAAAUCGAGGCUCAACCUCGUGGAAGUCGGUAAUACUGCUAUGCUAGAGGAUAGGAGAGGUUAACGGAACUCCCUGUGGAGCGGUGAAAUGCGUAGAUAUAGGGAAGAACACCAAUCAGGCGAAGGCAGUUAACUAUUCUAUUCCUGACAUUUGAGGCAUGAAAGCGUGGGGAGCAAAAACGG